UACGUAGGGUGCGAGCGUUAAUCGGAAUUACUGGGCGUAAAGCGUGCGUAGGUGGUUCGUUGUGUCUGUGGUGAAAGCCCCGGGCUUAACCUGGGAAUGGCCAUGGAAACUGGCGAGCUGGAGUGUGGCAGAGGGGGGUGGAAUUCCGCGUGUAGCAGUGAAAUGCGUAGAGAUGCGGAGGAACACCGAUGGCGAAGGCAGCCCCUUGGGCUAACACUGACGCUGAGGCACGAAAGCGUGGGGAGCAAACAGG
rnacentral:rRNA from 1 species